rnacentral:rRNA from 1 species
UACGUAGGUGACCAGCGUUGUCCGGAUUUACUGGGCGUAAAGAGCGCGCAGGCGGUCGUUCAAGUCGAGUGUGAAAGCCCCCCGGCUCAACUGGGGAGGGUCACUCGAUACUGAUCGACUUGAAGGCAGGAGAGGGAAGCGGAAUUCCCGGUGUAGUGGUGAAAUGCGUAGAUAUCGGGAGGAACACCAGUGGCGAAGGCGGCUUCCUGGCCUGUUCUUGACGCUGAGGCGCGAAAAGCUAGGGG